UACAUGUGGGGCAAGCGUUGUUCGGAAUCACUGGGCAUAAAGGGUGCGUAGGCGGUGGUGCACGUCCUGGGUGAAAUCCUUCGGCCCAACCGGAGGUCUGCCUGGGAUACGGCACUACUUGAGUGCGUGAGGGGUGACUGGAACGCGUGGUGUAGCGGUGAAAUGCGUAGAUAUUGGAAGGAACGCCGGUGGCGAAAGCGACACACUGGACCUUGUCUGACGCUGAGGCACGAAAGCCAGGGGAGCAAAC
rnacentral:rRNA from 1 species